UACGUAGGGUGCAAGCGUUGUCCGGAAUUAUUGGGCGUAAAGAGCUCGUAGGCGGUUUGUCACGUCGGCCGUGAAAACUCGGGGCUCAACCCCGAGCCUGCGGUCGAUACGGGCAGACUAGAGUGCUGUAGGGGAGACUGGAAUUCCUGGUGUAGCGGUGAAAUGCGCAGAUAUCAGGAGGAACACCGGUGGCGAAGGCGGGUCUCUGGGCAGUAACUGACGCUGAGGAGCGAAAGCGUGGGGAGCGAACAGG
rnacentral:rRNA from 1 species